CAUCCUCCAGCUGUGCUUGAGAACAGUUCUUCCACUUCACUUGAGGAAUCCAUUGCUGCACCAGCAGCAGGUAGAAACUCAAAGACUGCAUGAAGAUUGUACAGGAAAUGCUGCAUCUCUACAUUUCCUAGAGGGCCUAUUCUAUAGCACUCCGUUGGAAAGAGGAUAAUCCUAAUUUCCCAGCUGGUCCAGCGCUUCAUCAUAUCCCUGGAAAUUCCUGAGAUGGCUGACCUUAAAAUGAUGACAUUGUUAUGAAUAGAAAAGCUAUUUUAGUAACACCUGGAAACACCAACCUGGAUCAGAAGUCCAUUAUGCUGGGUGCAGGAUAAACAUUCAGUGAUGGAAGAACUGGCUAACACAUCUCAAGGUCAUUAAUGACUCUCACAGACUAACUCACAAUUUGGAUGUGCAAAUGUACUUUGUCUGAUUUCAAACAGCAUGGGCUCAAAAGUCCCACCUGAAUGUUACUGGAUUCAUAUUCUGCUUUGGAGAGACUUGAAGGGGUAGGUGAAUGAGAAGAGAGGUGGCAAAAAGCAAAAAAUAAUAAUAAAAAAUCUAAUCCACAUCACCUCUAAAAAUUAACAUACACCCCUUAUAAAGGGCACCUGUUACUUCCCAGAUUUACCAAAACAGACAACAGUCCCCCAGUUAAACAAGCCCAAGUGAAGUUGUGGCUUCAUUAAACUGAGCACCAGACAUAACAUUUUGCAAUAGUCUCUAGUAUAGUGAGUCAUGGAAAUACUGGCUAUAGCUCAAGCAGUUUAGAUCUAUAAUUCUAUUCACUAUCAAGAUAUUAUUGAAAUGAACUCUCAUCAUUACUGCGACUUCACUAUUGAAAAGCAGAGAUAAGGCAUGAGAGAGACAAGGUGGGUGAGGUAAUAUCUUUUAUUGGACCAACUUCUGUUGGUGAAAGAGACAAGCUUUCAAGCUACACUGAGCUCUUCUUCUGCUCUGGGUAGCUUGAAAGCUUGUCUCUUGCACCAACUGAAGUUGGGCUAGUAAAAUACAUCACCUCACCCGCCUUGUCGGUCUCAUAUCCAGGAACACAGCUACAACAAUGGAGAUAGUACAUGUCGGACAAAAUUCAGCUCUGGCGUAAGCAACUGCAGUUGUUAUUAAGAUCUGUGAGAGUUGAACCUAUUUGAAUCAGAGCUGUAUUUGGACUGUUGUUUCCUACUGGGGGGUUUUACAGACCUGAGACUCUUUCAAUAUUUGUUCAUAUUUCGUGAGCAGCUUUUGCCUUUUUGUGUAAUAAUUCAUUCUGCUUAUUCUCCUCUUUACUUCCUUCAUUUCCUUAGUAUUCUACUGGUCCUAGUAGUUUUUAUAAGAAUAGCUGCAUCUUAGGAUAUGUCCUUGUAAUAUCAUUCCUAUCUUCUACUGUUUCUGUUUGCUAAACAACACAUGACUUAUGUUGUCAACUAUUGCCAUUGGGUUUAAUCAGUCAAUCAAUCAACUGUAUUGAGGCUGCUGAUAGAGAAGUCAAAAAGCUACACAGAAGUCAGGAAAGGAGAAGAAAUGAAUCUUCCAGCACUGCAAAAGUAGAAUCAGACAGGUGUCAGAUCAUGGUGUAAUAUUUUUAUCCCACCACUAUUAGAUAAUCAAGCCAGAGUGUAGCACCCGGGGAUGGAGCAGCACUGUGGGUGUAAAUGGAUGGGGACUUAAAGCAGUCCCUAAAAAUACUUGUUUUAUAUAGAGGCUUUUUCAUUCACCCUCAGCUGGAGGUAAUAUAAGAUACGCUUGCAAAGAAUGAUUUGGUUCUAAUUCACCUGAUUUCUUACAGACUUCACCUACUUCUAACCCAAAUCUGUAAAUUGUUCUUUAGCACAACAUAGGUCAAACUCCAACAUGCCCAAAGGCAUAUGCCAUACUUGCUCUAAGGUUGAGUAGCUUAUUGGUAAAUUUGGGGUAAAUAUACUUCUGUUAGCUGCAAAUGCCUAUGUUCAGUUUGUUUGUGUUUUAAUCAGAUUUGUUAGAUAGAAUUUUUGUCUAGUUAUAUGACAACUCAUGGACUCUCUGUGGAAAUAUUAAUCUGUAGUACGGUAAAUCAAGUAGAGAGGGCUGCAGAAUAAAGGAUCGUGCUUAGUUCAGUUUGAAA